AUUGAACGCUGGCGGCAGGCCUAACACAUGCAAGUCGAACGAGUGGCGGACGGGUGAGUAAUGCCUGGGAAACUGCCCGAUGGAGGGGGAUAACUACUGGAAACGGUAGCUAAUACCGCAUACCAUCGGAUGUGCCCAGAUGGGAUUAGCUAGUAGGUGGGGUAACGGCUCACCUAGGCGACGAUCCCUAGCGGGUCUGAGAGGAUGACCGGCCACUCUGGAACUGAGACACGGCCCAGACUCCUACGGGAGGCAGCAGUGGGGAAUAUUGCGCAAUGGGGGCAAGCCUGACGCAGCCAUGCCGCGUGUAGGAAGAAGGCCUUCGGUUUUAAAAGUCCUUUCAGCGGGGAGGCGUUACCGGCAGAGGAAGCACCGGCUAACUCCGUGCCAGCAGCCGCGGUAAUAC
rnacentral:rRNA from 1 species